rnacentral:rRNA from 1 species
UACGGAGGGUGCAAGCGUUGUUCGGAAUCAUUGGGCGUAAAGAGCGUGUAGGCGGUGGGGUAAGUCAGAUGUGAAAUCCCUUGGCUUAACCAAGGAAGUGCAUUUGAAACUGCCCGGCUUGAGUACGGGAGGGGGAAGUGGAAUUCCCGGUGUAGAGGUGAAAUUCGUAGAUAUCGGGAGGAACACCGGUGGCGAAGGCGGCUUCCUGGACCGAUACUGACGCUGAGACGCGAAAGCGUGGGGAGCAAACAGG